GUGAGUACAGCUCAAAGCUGACAUCUUUAUUUCCCAGGGAAGUUUUCCUAUCUCGCAGUUUUCCCAAUUGUUCCUUUUAACACAAUAUCGACUGGGUAUUUUUCUUUUUGCAGAAACUAGCACCUGUGGUCGGCAAUUGUGAAUAUUGAAAUGCUUCAGUCAAUAACAUUUGGGAGAGGAAAAAGAAGAUGUGAAUUGUUUUGAAAAGAGAUGGCCAACAUUAAGCACAUCUGGAACAGAAUGCCUUGCCAAGGCUCUCCAAACAGAAAGAGGGUCCUAACUGAUUGAGGUUGAAAACUACAGGCCAGGCACCAGACUGCUGCUGCUGCUGCUGCUAAGUCGCUUCAGUCGUGUCCGACUCUGUGUGACCCCAUAGACAGCAGCCCACCAGGCUCCCCCCGUCUCUGGGAUUCUCCAGGCAAGAACACUGGAGUGGGUUGCCAUUUCC
ensembl:lncRNA